GAUGAACGCUGGCGGCGUGCCUAAUACAUGCAAGUCGAGCGGCAGCAUAGUCUUCGGACUGAUGGCGAGCGGCGGACGGCAGAGUAACGCGUAGGAACAUACCCCAAACUGAGGGAUAACUGCUCGAAAGAGUAGCUAAUACCGCAUGUGGUCUUAGGACUAAAGCUUCGGCGGUUUGGGAAUGGCCUGCGUCUGAUUAGCUUGUUGGUGAGGUAAAAGCUCACCAAGGCGACGAUCGGUAGCUGGUCUGAGAGGAUGAUCAGCCUGACUGGAACUGAGAACGGUCCAGACUCCUACGGGAGGCAGCAGUAGGGAAUUUUCCACAAUGGCGAAGACCUGAUGGA
rnacentral:rRNA from 1 species